AAAAGAGUGUGAUAACAAGCCCAUGAUAAAAGCUAUUUUCAGAUUUCAGUAUGAAUUAGUAGAAUAUAUUACAUAUAUUCUGUCAUAUAGAAUAAUAUAUACAUAUGAUUAGAAUAUUGUUUUGUCACUCUGAAGAAACUGGUUUACUAUAUGAUAGUUUUCUAUUUCUUCUAUAUGAAGAAAUUAGGAAACUAUAUGAUCGUUUUCCAUUUAAUAAUAAAGGCUAUGAUGAAGUAGCCAGAAAGCGUAGCGACAUCUAGGGAAAGUUUGGCAGAAGUGCCUCCAUGCUAAAACAUCUGUAGCUCCAUUUUUUUUACUUCUCAGGUUGGCAUUUGACAGUUAUACUCUACGGAAAAACAAAAAUGUCUUGAGCAACAUAACCUCUUGAGAAACAAAGAUAAUGAAUAUGAGAAUAUGGUCUUUAUGUUAAGAUUUUAAUAGGAUCCCAGUGGGAGUUCUGAGUAGUGAUAGUAGAAAAGAGAUGGUCUUCACUGAAUUUGCAAGUUAGAUCUGUGUGAAUUUUAAGCAGGAGACAGGUAUGUGCUUAAAUCCAAUGUACUCUUCAAAAGACAUCCUGCAUCUCUGACUGAAAAUGUAACCGCUUUUUUUUCUGUGAAGGUAGUGUACCCAGGGAAAGUUUGGUCAGAGUGGCUUGCUCGGAAGGGAUGAGAAGAAUAAAGAGGAAUAUGGUGUGUGAAUAGGGUGCCAUACCAGCCCCCUUGUUGGGAGGAGAACAGAGGUUGCUAUUGCUACAGGUGGAUAUCUGACUAAGCAUGGUGAUUAAAGAGAGACAAAAGUUCAUGAUGUGGGUAUCUCAAAGCCAAGAAAGAAUUUCCUAGUUUGUAUCAAGAGAGGUGUGGAUGAAAUCUUCACUUCAAAGACAUACCAGGUACAAUGUAUUUUAAUACUUAAAAUUACCUGUAAAAGUGAGCGUACGUCUGCCACUUUACAGUUUAGUUUAAAAUAAGUGCUUCCUUCAUAUUGAAUCUAAAGACUUAGAUUUUCAUCCUUCAGUAGUCUGGGAAUUACGUAAACACAAGUCAUUCGUAACAUAAGUAGAUCUAAAAAAGUCACUGUUCUUAAAAAAUUAACAGAUAAAACUAUAACGCACGUUACCAGCAUAUUAUUAAAAAAUUCACAGAAGUGCCUGUGCAUGCUUAGGAGUUCCUGACUGACUCCUUUUGUUCCUCAUAGCAAUCCAAAGUCUCUUUUGAAAUAGAAUUCUACAUUUUUGGUGAAAGGCAUCUUUGAGAAAUUGUCUGAGCCAGGGAAAAAGCUUUGAGAAAAAUGCAUAUUCUGAAUUUUGACCUCGGUCUGUUCCUUAAGGGAGAGAAUAUUAAGACUUUAGCAGUGUACAGGACAAAAAUUUUUACCUGAAAGCAAAUUCUGCUGGAACCAGAAUGUGCACAUGAAAGUCUUUCUUGGUGUGAAAUGAAGUCAUAAAAGGAGCUUCGUGGUUCCUUUUUGUGGAAGGUGUUUCUUCCUCCAGAGAUGGGGAACAGCAGAUGCUAGUUCACUCCUCAAGGGAAGAGCAUAUGAAGUGGGAACAGCUACUUAUAAUUCCCUGCACUUAAAUAAUGAAGCAUGAGCAAUUCAACAAGAGGAGUGCAGACAGAUAUUAGUGUGAUGUGAAAUCUAGAGAAGAAGCUGUAGGCUAGAAAAAGAAAAUGAAUAUGUAAAGCUUGUACUAAAAGGGUGUUGGAGAGCAAGAAUUUAAUCCAGAGGUGUCCAAGAGGGAGUAACGAUUGCUCAGAAUCCUUGCUCCACCAAGUGAAUUCAUUGUAGUACAGAGAGAGGAUAAAGGUAUAAAGGACAGACUAUUCCCUUAUUUUUAGAGCAGAAGGCUCCAGAAAAAACUGGUGUUAAAGGCAGAAGUCUGUGGAGGGGUAUAAGACAAAGGCAAGCAUUCAGUGAUACUUUGAAUCUUAGACUAUAUUAGAAAUCACAGUUGCUUGUAUGUGCCCAUAUGAGAAGGAAGGAAAAUGAUGACAUGAAGACACUGCAGAGUGAUCUGUUGUACGUUCCUCUGCCAAUAUGUACAAUAAAAUGUUCAGUUGCAGUGGAUCAUAAACAGAGGGUUAAUUGCUAAAAGUUGCAGAGUAAUAUGAAUCUUGUGUACUAAUAGAUUUUAUCAAGAAAAUACAGCAGAAGUGGAAACUCAGAGUUUAAGUGUGAACUUGCAGUAAUCCACUGACAGAAGAGUUGUGUAGGUGUAUAAAAUUGAUUUGAAAGGGAAUGAAGAGGUGUGACUUGUGAAUUGCUACUUUUUAAAGGUAAAAAAUUAGAGCACACGUAGGUCGUGUUAGAAAAGAAGGUAAGUCUUUAUCCUUAUCUCUUUAUUAUGUACAUUUCUGUAAAUGCUUCCUUUGGUUGCCUCUAGCCUUUCUACUAUUUUAAAUCUUUGAAUAUUAAAUUUUUAUUGAUAUUGAAAUGCUAAGAGAUGUAAUAAUACUGAUAUACCAAGUGAUUUAACAUUUAAAAAGAUACAAAGAUUUUCAGUGGCCAUUUGAAAACAAGGUUUGAAGCAUUACGUUACUACAAAAUUAAAUAUAUGCAGUUGAACUCUGAGCACUUCUGUUUGUAAUAUAUGAGAAUGUUCUCUUAAAGCUGUGUCUCCAUAAUGACAUUUGAAUUCCAACUUUGGUAUGUAAUUUUAGGAUAGUACUUUAUGUUUGAUUUUCAACAGCAUAGUUUUUUGCAGCUAGGUGGCUUGCGCUUCGAGCGGAUUCUUCUUUUUAAUCAAAAGGAGGAAAGCUUUUGCUCUACCUCUUUAUAAACUCACCAGAGCCAAUCCUUCAUAUCAAAGUUCAUAUUUUAUUGACCAGACAGUGUUUUGUCUUUGCAAUUAACUGCUGCAAGGAUACAGUGCUGUAGAAACUAUUAAAGGACAGUAUUGAUGUUACUGUAGUAUUUUACCAGAAUAGUUAUUUAAAGUAUGCAGUUACUUAUGUUUUUACGUCUGUGCUAUCAGCCUUUUCGACUGCUCUGCACCUGUGCUGUCACUGCCUUGUGUCCCUUCCUCUUCUAGCCCCGUCCCUUUAUCUGGAGCUGUGGUGGUGCCACAUUGCCGUAACCCCACUACCGCUUGCAUUAGUUACCACCAUAGGAUCCACUUCCGCAGAGAUGGAUCCUGGUCCCUGGGCAUAAAAAAUCAGCAAGCUGAUGGAGAGUCAAAAUGGAAAAGGCCCGUGAGAGAAUUAUCAUAAUACAACAUCUGGUCUGCAUUGGAAAAAGCUGAGAAAGAUAUUCAACAUCUCUGAGACCGAGAGGCAGCAGCUACGAGGCACUUUGAAAGUCAGACUAUGAAAAAUUGUGCAGGUUGUGGCCAUCUGGGCCAAUCUAAUGUUGUUUUGGGAAGAGCUGCUCUGCUUCCUAGCAUCUGAAUUUUAAUCUCACUUCAGCACAGGCUGCCUGAGGACCCACUGGAAAGUCUAUGGACCUUUCUCCACAGAAAAUUUGUGUGUUGACAGUACAUCAGUGUAUUGUCCACAGUUGCACUGUGGCAGCUGCAGAGGAAGUGGAAGGUUCUCAGAAAUACAUGAGGGAGAAAUGGAUUUUUGGCUUCUGGAACAGUAUGGAGUGCUUUUGGAAACUGUAAGUUUAUGAGCUGGAUGUUACUGCUACAAAAGGUUAUCUGUGAGUUAAACAUAAUGGUAAUUAAUCUGCUAUCUUUAGAUCUCAGCAUUAACAACAUGAUGAAAAUGAGAAUUCAUACUCUUUAGAAUUGCGGUUUUCCAAGAUGCCUUAAUUCCAACUAAAAUACCCAGAUUUUCGCUGUUAGAGGUUUUCAGCGUUAGAGGUUUUCAGCGUUAACCUUUAGAAAUACACUGUGCACAGAUGUUUUUACAAGGCAGUAUAUAAUCAUCCCAAACUAUAUUUAGUGUGCCAGUUAUUUAGGAAAAGCAUGUAUAAUCCCUGAUACUGACAUAAAACAUGUAUUAUCAGAAUGAUACAGUUUGUACUACCCUGGUAUAUAGUAGGCCCUGGAAAUACAAAACUAAUCAUGUCAUUAAUAUUCUGUUAUGUCUGUAAACAGAUAUAUUGGAAAAGACUGCCAGCAGCAUUCUGGGCUGCAUUAGGAAAAGCAUUGCCAGCAGGUCACAGGAGGUGAUUAUUCCCCUUUACUCAGCACUGAUGAGACCACAGUGAGAGUACUGUGCCCAGUUCUGGGCUCCCCACAAGAAGAAGGACAUGGACUUGCUGGAGCGAGUGCAGGGAAGGGCCGUGAAGAUGAUUUAAGAGGCUGGAGAUUUGUCAUAUGGUUGCCCAAAGAAGUUGUGGAGUUGGCAACCUUGAAGAUACUCUGAACUCAACCAGGCAAGGUCCUGGGCAGCCUGCUCCUGGUGAUUCUGCUUGGAGCUGGGGGUUGGACUGGAUGAUCUCCAGUGGUGCUUCCAACCUCAGUGAUGCUGUGAAUAUUUGAAGCAGUUUGCUUAUGUCUUGUAGGUGUUUUGGUUGGAACUUGCCUGUGUAGGAAUCCUAAAGAAAGCAAAGGCUGUGACCCUAGAAAUACAUCCAGAUGGCUGAGGCCCAGAAAAGGCAUAAUGGGAGCUGCUGAGUAUUUUGGGUAUCUCAUCAGAGUGAUAUUUGACUUAAAAAUACAAAUACAGAAAUCACUUGGGUCUUACUAUCAAUGACACCGAAUACCCAUAACGAUUUCUCGCUUCAGCUGGAUUGCAGAUGGUAGCAGCCUCUCUCCAUCUGAACACCUAUUUUUGCUUAGUCUUGCUCUGGAAAACUUUACCAUAUACUUUACUCUAGAAAUGAAUAUUUGGUGCUUUAUGAUGCAGAAUUUGGUUGUUGGUUUAGUAAACGCUUUGUUUCCUUACUAGUACUGAUACUAACAAAUUGUAAUGUCUUUUGACAUAUUGCUGCAGUAACAGGCACGCGCUAUGUCUCAGAGAAUUGAGAAUAUCAUCAUUUGAGCAAGGUAAAAAUCAAAAUAUAUAAUUACAUUGCAUAUUCUAUGGCACUACACACUUAGCUUGUAACUAUUCUUUUAGCACCUUCAGAAUAAGAACAAAGCUGAAAUUAAAAAGUGGCUUGCAUUUCUUAAUAGACACGAGAUUUAUAUGGAAAGGUGAGAUAACGUAUUUUUUUACAUCAGCUGAACAGUGAUAGGAAGAUUCACCUGUGGUUUUUCAUCCUGAAGAUGCUGAGGAACCAACUUGCAGUGUUGAGAAUUACUGGAUCCUCCUUCUUUAGAAAACUUUGUCUUUCAUAUUGCCUCAUUUCCCUUUAAGAAAGAGGGAGAGCACUCUGAAAAACAAGAAGUUGAGGAACAUUACACAAGGAUUGUAAAGCACUUGGUUUCUUUUUUUUUUUUUUUUUUUACAUUUCAGCAAAUGAAACAGUAAGUAACAAUAAGAUAAUAACUUUAUUAUCAAUACAUGGAGUCACAUGGCGUCUUACAGACUAAGACAGAAAUGUAUAAAUGCUAAUUAUCGGAAGACCUGAAGCCACAAAAUUAAGUCUUCAGACAUAAAUAAUGUAUGAAGGUGAAAUAAACUUACUCAUAAGUUCCCAUCUUCUGCCACCACUUUUCCCUGACUUACUGCUUUUACAGCAUAUCUCCUCUGAUUGUAAUAGUCUUUGCGUGGGAUGGGUUUUUUGGUGGGGAGAGUAUUCCUUUAAAUUGACACCUCUAGCAGCAGUUCCUCCUUCUAUUGUUUUCCUUUUAUAAAUUUAUAGCCUAUUAUACCUCUCCAAGCCUGGCAUAGCUCCAAGUCACCCAUUUCUCAGUAAUACAGGAAAUUAAAUCUAAUGCCUAAUAAGCAUAGAGGCUUAUGCAACCUUCGUUCACUGAAUAAAGUAUUAAAUAACUUAAUAUUAUUACCUUGUCUUUUGAUAGCUAGAGAGUUGAGCACUUUGUUUUUCUGCAGACCACAUAGGUUCUGCGUUUGGACUAGAGGAGCUGGGCUUUAUCCACCCCUUCCACCAACUUUCUGAAUGUCGCCUCAGUAUUCUGCUCUUGUUGAAGGACCCCCUGAAACCUCCAGGUCUAGGGUUUGGUGCCCUUCUCCACUUCUCCCGGUAGUAGGAACCCCCUUUGUUCCCCAACACAAGGGCUGUGUACCCCGAGGUCUUACCCCAGGGGUGCUGGCUGCUUUCUCACUCAUUCUCCCGCUCCCAGGAUUUCCUCCAGCCUGACCAGAUUUCUGCCUGUCCCAUCCCAUUUUCUGUUAGUAGCCCCUGCGGUUCUGUGUCGG